rnacentral:pre_miRNA from 1 species
GGUGGUGAAUGUAAACCGUUGGCAGCAUAUAUUCGACGCGAAUUGUCGCGGCGGGGGAUGAAAUGGGCUUUACCAUC